GAUGAACGCUGGCGGCAUGCCUAAUACAUGCAAGUCGAGCGGAAAGACAAUGAGCGUGCUCCUUUGCCGGUGGCGGCGGGCGGGCGGGUAACAAAUGGAUCAGCUACCUCUAUUACGUGGAUGACUUCGGGGAACAGCAUCCGAUACUGGAUAAUAUGUUGUACCGGAGGAAGCAAUAGUGCAUCGGGCCUUUGCUGUUCCAAAUAGAUGGUUCCGGGCCGGAUUAGCUAGUUGGUAAGGUAACGGCCUACCAAGGCAACGAGGCGUAGCCGACCUGAGAGGAUGAUCGGCCACACUGGAACUGAGACACGGUCCAGACUCCUACGGGAGGCAGCAGUAGGGAAUCUUGGACAAUGGGCGAAAGCCUGAUGCAGCAACACCGCGUGAGUGAUGAAGGUCUUCGGAUCGUAAAACCCUUUUAUUAGGAAAGAAAAACUGCAUGAGAAAAUAUGCAUGUCCUGACGGUACCUAAUCAGAAAGCCCCGGCUAACUACGUG
rnacentral:rRNA from 1 species